GGUUAAGCGACUAAGCGUACACGGUGGAUGCCCUGGCAGUCAGAGGCGAUGAAGGACGUGCUAAUCUGCGAAAAGCGUCGGUAAGGUGAUAUGAACCGUUAUAGCCGGCGAUGUCCGAAUGGGGAAACCCAGUGCAAUUCGUUGCACUAUCGUUAACUGAAUACAUAGGUUAACGAGGCGAACCGGGGGAACUGAAACAUCUAAGUACCCCGAGGAAAAGAAAUCAACCGAGAUUCCCCCAGUAGCGGCGAGCGAACGGGGAGCAGCCCAGAGUCUGAAUCAGCUUGUGUGUUAGUGGAACGGUCUGGAAAGUCCGACGGUACAGGGUGAUAGUCCCGUACACCAAAAUGCACAGGUUGUGAACUCGAAGAGUAGGGCGGGACACGUGGUAUCCUGUCUGAAUAUGGGGGGACCAUCCUCCAAGGCUAAAUACUCCUGACUGACCGAUAGUGAACCAGUACCGUGAGGGAAAGGCGAAAAGAACCCCGGCGAGGGGAGUGAAAAAGAACCUGAAACCGUGUACGUACAAGCAGUGGGAGCACCUUCGGGUGUGACUGCGUACCUUUUGUAUAAUGGGUCAGCGACUUAUAUUCUGUAGCAAGGUUAACCGUAUAGGGGAGCCGCAGGGAAACCGAGUCUUAACUGGGCGUUAAGUUGCAGGGUAUAGACCCGAAACCCGGUGAUCUAGCCAUGGGCAGGUUGAAGGUUGGGUAACACUAACUGGAGGACCGAACCGACUAAUGUUGAAAAAUUAGCGGAUGACUUGUGGCUGGGGGUGAAAGGCCAAUCAAACCGGGAGAUAGCUGGUUCUCCCCGAAAGCUAUUUAGGUAGCGCCUCGUGAAUUCAUCUUCGGGGGUAGAGCACUGUUUCGGCUAGGGGGUCAUCCCGACUUACCAACCCGAUGCAAACUACGAAUACCGAAGAAUGUUAUCACGGGAGACACACGGCGGGUGCUAACGUCCGUCGUGAAGAGGGAAACAACCCAGACCGCCAGCUAAGGUCCCAAAGUCAUGGUUAAGUGGGAAACGAUGUGGGAAGGCACAGACAGCCAGGAUGUUGGCUUAGAAGCAGCCAUCAUUUAAAGAAAGCGUAAUAGCUCACUGGUCGAGUCGGCCUGCGCGGAAGAUGUAACGGGGCUAAACCAUGCACCGAAGCUGCGGCAGCGACACUAUGUGUUGUUGGGUAGGGGAGCGUUCUGUAAGCCUGCGAAGGUGUGCUGUGAGGCAUGCUGGAGGUAUCAGAAGUGCGAAUGCUGACAUAAGUAACGAUAAAGCGGGUGAAAAGCCCGCUCGCCGGAAGACCAAGGGUUCCUGUCCAACGUUAAUCGGGGCAGGGUGAGUCGACCCCUAAGGCGAGGCCGAAAGGCGUAGUCGAUGGGAAACAGGUUAAUAUUCCUGUACUUGGUGUUACUGCGAAGGGGGGACGGAGAAGGCUAUGUUAGCCGGGCGACGGUUGUCCCGGUUUAAGCAUGUAGGCUGGUUGUCCAGGCAAAUCCGGAUAAUCAAGGCUGAGGUGUGAUGACGAGGCACUACGGUGCUGAAGUAACAAAUGCCCUGCUUCCAGGAAAAGCCUCUAAGCAUCAGGUAACAUUAAAUCGUACCCCAAACCGACACAGGUGGUCAGGUAGAGAAUACCAAGGCGCUUGAGAGAACUCGGGUGAAGGAACUAGGCAAAAUGGUGCCGUAACUUCGGGAGAAGGCACGCUGGUGUGUAGGUGAAGUCCCUGCGGAUGGAGCUGAGACCAGUCGAAGAUACCAGCUGGCUGCAACUGUUUAUUAAAAACACAGCACUGUGCAAACACGAAAGUGGACGUAUACGGUGUGACGCCUGCCCGGUGCCGGAAGGUUAAUUGAUGGGGUUAUCCGUAAGGAGAAGCUCUUGAUCGAAGCCCCGGUAAACGGCGGCCGUAACUAUAACGGUCCUAAGGUAGCGAAAUUCCUUGUCGGGUAAGUUCCGACCUGCACGAAUGGCGUAAUGAUGGCCAGGCUGUCUCCACCCGAGACUCAGUGAAAUUGAACUCGCUGUGAAGAUGCAGUGUACCCGCGGCAAGACGGAAAGACCCCGUGAACCUUUACUAUAGCUUGACACUGAACAUUGAGCCUUGAUGUGUAGGAUAGGUGGGAGGCUUUGAAGCGUGGACGCCAGUCUGCGUGGAGCCAACCUUGAAAUACCACCCUUUAAUGUUUGAUGUUCUAACGUUGGCCCCUUACCGGGGUUGCGGACAGUGUCUGGUGGGUAGUUUGACUGGGGCGGUCUCCUCCCAAAGCGUAACGGAGGAGCACGAAGGUUAGCUAAUCCUGGUCGGACAUCAGGAGGUUAGUGCAAUGGCAUAAGCUAGCUUGACUGCGAGCGUGACGGCGCGAGCAGGUGCGAAAGCAGGUCAUAGUGAUCCGGUGGUUCUGAAUGGAAGGGCCAUCGCUCAACGGAUAAAAGGUACUCCGGGGAUAACAGGCUGAUACCGCCCAAGAGUUCAUAUCGACGGCGGUGUUUGGCACCUCGAUGUCGGCUCAUCACAUCCUGGGGCUGAAGUAGGUCCCAAGGGUAUGGCUGUUCGCCAUUUAAAGUGGUACGCGAGCUGGGUUUAGAACGUCGUGAGACAGUUCGGUCCCUAUCUGCCGUGGGCGCUGGAGAAUUGAGGGGGGCUGCUCCUAGUACGAGAGGACCGGAGUGGACGCAUCACUGGUGUUCGGGUUGUCAUGCCAAUGGCACUGCCCGGUAGCUAAAUGCGGAAGAGAUAAGUGCUGAAAGCAUCUAAGCACGAAACUUGCCCCGAGAUGAGUUCUCCCUGAGACUUUAAGUCUCCUGAAGGAACGUUAAAGACGAUGACGUUGAUAGGCCGGGUGUGUAAGCGCAGCGAUGCGUUGAGCUAACCGGUACUAAUGAACCGUGAGGCUUAACCUU
rnacentral:rRNA from 1 species